GUACAGUGGCAAACGGGUGAGUAAUACGUAGGUAAUCUGCCUUUAGGUUUGGAAUAACCAUGAGAAAUCGUGGCUAAUACUGGAUAACAAUCAGGGAACAAAAGUUUUUUGAUUUAAAGGUGACUUUGUAUAAAAGUUAUCGCCGAAAGAUGAGCCUAUGGUCUAUUAGCCAGUUGGUAGGGUAACGGCCUACCAAAGCUAAGAUGGAUAGCCGACCUGAGAGGGUAUACGGCCACAUUGGGACUGACACACGGCCCAAACUCCUACGGGAGGCUGCAGCUAAGAAUUUUCCGCAAUGGGCGCAAGCCUGACGGAGCGACACCGCGUGGGUGAUGAAGGCUUUCGAGUUGUAAAACCCUGUCGUGAGGGACGAAGAGAAUUUGCGUUAAUAAUUCAAAUUCUUUGACGGUACCUUAAAAGGAAGCCCCGGCCAACUACGUGCCAGCAGCCGCGGUAAUACGUAUGGGGCAAGCGUUGUUCGGAUUUACUGGGUGUAAAGGGCGAGUAGGUGGUAUUAUAAGUUAAAUGUGAAAUCUUAAGGCUUAACCUUAAAACUGCAUUUAAUACUGUAAAACUAGAGUUCGGAAGAGGAGAAUGGAAUUCCCGGUGUAGGGGUGAAAUCUGUAGAUAUCGGGAAGAACACCAGUGGCGAAGGCGAUUCUCUGGUCCGAUACUGACACUGAGCCGCGAAAGUUGGGGGAGCAAACAGGAUUAGAUACCCUGGUAGUCCCAACUGUAAACUUUGGACACUAGGUGUUGGGAGUAUCGACCCUUCCAGUGCCGCAGUUAACACGUUAAGUGUCCCACCUGGGGAGUACGCUCGCAAGGGUGAAACUCAAAGGAAUUGACGGGGGCCCGCACAAGCGGUGGAGCAUGUGGCUUAAUUCGACGCUACGCGAAGAACCUUACCUGGACUUGACAUGCUGGUGGUAAGAACCCGAAAGGGAGAUGACCCGCAAGGGAGCCAGCACAGGUGCUGCAUGGCUGUCGUCAGCUCGUGUCGUGAGAUGUUGGGUUAAGUCCCGCAACGAGCGCAACCCUUAUCCUCUGUUGCCAUCAGGUUAAGCUGGGCACUCUGAGGAAACUGUCGGUAAUAAACCGGAGGAAGGUGAGGAUGACGUCAAGUCCGCAUGGCCUUUAUGUCCAGGGCCGCACACGUGCUACAAUGGAUUGCACAAAGGGGAGCAAAACCGCGAGGUAGAGCAAAUCCCAAAAAAACAGUCCUCAGUUCAGAUUGUAGUCUGCAACUCGACUACAUGAAGUUGGAAUCGCUAGUAAUCGCUAAUCAGCAGGUAGCGGUGAAUACGUUCCCGGGCCUUGUACACACCGCCCAUCACACCACGAAAGCUGAUCACACCAGAAGUCAAAAUGUUGACUCGCAAGAGAGAUAUUUGCCUAAGGUAUGAUGAGUGAUUGGGGUGAAGUCGUAACAAGGUA
rnacentral:rRNA from 1 species